GAUAAUCUUUCAAAAGCAGAAAAACUCAGGUUAGCAUCAAUUAGAAAGUUAGCGCAAUUUCUGGUAUUUGUGUGUCAAACAAAGAAUACGCGAAUUAUUUGAGAUAUGAUUGAAAUUUGCAAAGAAAGUAAAAAUCAAACUAGUUUCAUUCUAAGUUAUUGUAUAUAAUUUUAAAAUUUUGGAAUAGAAGUGA
rnacentral:lncRNA from 1 species